rnacentral:rRNA from 1 species
AUUGAACGCUGGCGGCAUGCCUUACACAUGCAAGUCGAACGGUAACAGGUCUUCGGAUGCUGACGAGUGGCGAACGGGUGAGUAAUACAUCGGAACGUGCCUAGUAGUGGGGGAUAACUACUCGAAAGAGUGGCUAAUACCGCAUGAGAUCUACGGAUGAAAGCAGGGGAUCGCAAGACCUUGUGCUACUAGAGCGGCCGAUGGCAGAUUAGGGAGUUGGUGGGAUAAAAGCUUACCAAGCCGACGAUCUGUAGCUGGUCUGAGAGGACGAUCAGCCACACUGGGACUGAGACACGGCCCAGACUCCUUCGGGAGGCAGCAGUGGGGGAUUUUGGACAAUGGGCGCAAGCCUGAUCCAGCAAUGCCGCGUGCAGGAUGAAGGCCUUCGGGUUGUAAACUGCUUUUGUACGGAACGAAAAGCCCUGGGUUAAUACCCUGGGGUCAUGACGGUACCGUAAGAAUAAGCACCGGCUAACUACGUGCAGCCGCCGCAGUAAGAC